UGGCUCAGGAUGAACGCUGGCGGCGUGCUUAACACAUGCAAGUCGAACGGGAUCCCUGGCAGCUUGCUGUCGGGGUGAGAGUGGCGAACGGGUGAGUAAUGCGUGACCAACCUGCCCUGUGCACCGGAAUAGCUCCUGGAAACGGGUGGUAAUACCGGAUGCUCCGCUCCAUCGCAUGGUGGGGUGGGAAAUGCUUUUGCGGCAUGGGAUGGGGUCGCGUCCUAUCAGCUUGUUGGCGGGGUGAUGGCCCACCAAGGCGUUGACGGGUAGCCGGCCUGAGAGGGUGACCGGCCACAUUGGGACNAGAUCGGCCCAG
rnacentral:rRNA from 1 species